GUUAUUUUGGCAGGUGAUGUCAUUUCCUGCCAGUGGCUUAGGGCUGCAUGACAUGGUGGGAAAUGCAUGGGAGUGGACAGCAGACUGGUGGAACGUGCAUCACACUACAGAAGACAGAAACAGGGACAGAGUCAGACAGAGUCAAAAAAGGAGGAUCCUACAAGGGUUACCUGCAAAUAUGAUUAAGAGGCUGCAAUAUAUGCAUUUAGCUGCUCGUGUUUUAACUUACACACCAUCCCGCAGUUAUGUUUUUAUCUCAACCUAUAAAGCAGUACAUGGGGUGCCCCCGAGUAUAUUUGUAGUUUGAUCACAGUGUCUACACCAUCUGGGUCUCUCCGCUCUGCUGGUUUCUCUGACUCUGUACCAGCCUCAUUGUAAACUCAAUACUAUGGGAGGUCAUUCUCUUGAAUUGCUCCCAGGUUGUGGAAUUCUCUGCCUUUUCCAAUUAGGAAUGCUUCGUCUUUUGUUUGUUUUAAGAAAUUACUCAAAACAUGUCUCUUUAGUGAAGCUUUUAAGUUAUAAUCUUACAGUUGUUGUUGCCAUUGUUAUUAUUGUGUUGUCAUUGUG